AACGAACGCUGGCGGCAUGCCUAACACAUGCAAGUCGAACGAGACCUUCGGGUCUAGCGGCGCACGGGUGCGUAACGCGUGGGAACCUGCCCUUAGGUUCGGAAUAACUCCCCGAAAGGGGUGCUAAUACCGGAUAAUGUCUUCGGACCAAAGAUUUAUCGCCUUUGGAUGGGCCCGCGUUGGAUUAGCUAGUUGGUAGGGUAAAAGCCUACCAAGGCGACGAUCCAUAGCUGGUCUGAGAGGAUGAUCAGCCACACUGGGACUGAGACACGGCCCAGACUCCUACGGGAGGCAGCAGUGGGGAAUAUUGGACAAUGGGCGAAAGCCUGAGCCAGCAAUGCCGCGUGAGUGAUGAAGGCCUUAGGGUUGUAAAGCUCUUUUACCCGGGAUGAUAAUGACAGUACCGGGAGAAUAAGCUCCGGCUAACUCCGUG
rnacentral:rRNA from 1 species